AGAGUCAGCUCUACGGCUAACAGUUACUACCCAUAGAGUCAGCUCUAAUGCUAACAGUACUACCCAUAGAGUCAGCUCUAAUGCUAACAUUACUACCCAUAGAGUCAGCUCUAAUGCUAACAGUACUACCCAUAGAGUCAGCUCUAAUGCUAACAGUACUACCCAUAGAGUCAGCUCUAAUGCUAACAGUACUACCCAUAGAGUCAGCUCUAAGGCUAACAGUUACUACCCAUAGAGUCAGCUCUAAGGCUAACAGUUACUACCCAUAGAGUCAGCUCUAAGGCUAACAGUUACUUACUACUUAUCGGUAGAUUACUGUGGAUUGCUGUACUGUAUCUGUCUGUAAAUUGGAUCUGGAUUGGUUGGUUGGGAUGGCAGUGUUUGAUUGGCCCACCUUUGCCACUGAUCAGCCAGUCAGAUGAGCGGGGCCUUGGGUUAGGAAGGGGAAUAGGGUAUCCAGUUUUAUAUUUCCCCCACUGAUGGUAAAGGUUAGGAUUGGGGGAAGGGAAGCUGAUCCUAGAUCUGUACCUAGGGAAAACGUCACCCUGGAGCGGGUGGGGAACAUAGUUUGGUUUAGUCUGCUGGUAAACUAAGGCUUCGUGUGAAAUACCAGCCUAUUCCCUAUAUAGUGGGCUUUCAUACUCAGCCUAUCCUAAAGAAUAUGGGUUAUUCAUCAAAUAUCUAGGCAGGAGCCAAGGACUACACAGAUAGAUUUGACACUUCUUCUCUUUCAUUUUUUAAAUGUCUUCCCGAAUCCCCUGAUUUAUGAGAGUCAAAUGUUUGCUCUUGAUUUUAUGUCCUGGUGUAAAUUCUGAAACAUUUGCAAAAACAUUGCUGUGAUUGUAGCUCAGCAUGAAUCAAACCACCGACAUCUUGUGAGUCCAAUAUGAUUAUACUGUAUAUCAACAAUAUAUUGUUCGGUGUGACCAGGGUUGAAUCUUUUGAAUAGUCUUUAGCCAUGACAAGGUGAUGGUGUUUAUGAAAUGAACUUUUGUUGUCUUGGGAGGAUUAUACACACAAAUUGAUAGCACUUCAGAACUCUUCUCCACAUACACCUGUGCUUUAAUGUAAACCUAACAUUAGGUUCCCUUUUAAAACAUCAUACCUGUGGUAACUUAUGAGGGGGACGUGUAAAGCAUUUUCAAAAGUCUGAUAAAUGUAACUUAAUUGUAUGGAACUUUGUUUACAUGAUUGGCAUAGUGGUCUAUUUGCUGUUAUUAGAGGCUAGUUUGGGAGAGGUAGGUAGGCUAUACCUAUGACAGGACAAUGCUUUGCGUCUAUCAAGUUUUCCUCUUUCUAACUUUUAGAACAGUAAACACUUUGCAACAUGGUCUUCGAAGUGCUUAGUACCUUAUCCUUACCUGCCCAGGGUUCUACUGAUAUGGAUUUAAUGGAUAUUAAUUUUUUUUAUUUUAUCUUUAUUUAACCAGGCAAGUCAGUUAAGAACAAAUUCUUAUUUUCAAUGACGGCCUAGGAACAGCGGGUUAACUGCCUGUUCAGGGGCAGAACGACAGAUUUGUACCUUGUCAGCUCGGGGGUUUGAACUUACAACCUUCCGGUUACUAGUCCAACGCUCUAACCACUAGGCUACCCUGCCGCCAAAUAGAAAAGUCUAGAACAAGAAGCACAGUAACAGCCAUUUGUCCAUGGCGUUUACCAACCAAAUUAAUUUGUUUGCAUUGAUUCUAAAGAAAAGCGUAGCCACUUUUAUUACUGUGUAAUAGUUACUCAACCAUUUCUAAUUUACAGAUAAGGACAAAGGUACUGGAUCAUUCCUAGGAUCUGUCCCAAAUCGCAUCCUAUUUCCUAUGUAGGGCACUACUUUGUACAUAGGGAAUAGGGUUCCAUUUGGGACGGAACCAUAGAGAACUGGGCCACAAUCGCAGCGCUCUGAUUGGAGGAGGGGAGGUUAAAGGUUAAUGAUGAUGUCACCUUUUUGGAUUGACUGCAUGUAUGUGUGAUUAAAUCAUUAUGAGUAAAACAUA
ensembl:lncRNA